CGGACGGGUGAGUAACACGUGGAUAACCUACCUAUAAGACUGGGAUAACUUCGGGAAACCGGAGCUAAUACCGGAUAAUAUUUUGAACCGCAUGGUUCAAAAGUGAAGGACGGUCUUGCUGUCACUUAUAGAUGGAUUCGCGCUGCAUUAGCUAGUUGGUAAGGUAACGGCUUACCAGGGCAACGAUGCAUAGCCGACCUGAGAGGGUGAUCGGCCACACUGGAACUGAGACGCGGUCCAG
rnacentral:rRNA from 1 species